CCUACGGGUGACAGCAGUGGGGAAUAUUGGGCAAUGGGCGCAAGCCUGACCCAGCCACGCCGCGUGAAGGAAGAAGGCUUUCGGGUUGUAAACUUCUUUUCACAGGGACGAAGAAAGUGACGGUACCUGAGGAAUAAGCCACGGCUAACUACGUGCCAGCAGCCGCGGGAAGACGUAGGUGGCAAGCGUUAUCCGGAUUUACUGGGUGUAAAGGGCGUGUAGGCGGGACUGCAAGGCAGAUGGUAAAACCACGGGGUCAACCUUUGGCCUGCAUUUGAAACUGUAGUUCUUGAGUACUGGAGAGGCAGGCGGAAUGCCUAGUGUAGCGGUGAAAUGCGUAGAUAUUAGGAGGAACACCAGUGGCGAAGGCGGUCUGCUGGACAUCAACUGACGCUGAGGCGCGAAAGCGUGGGGAGCAAACAGGAUUAGAUACCCCAGUAGUC
rnacentral:rRNA from 1 species